rnacentral:rRNA from 1 species
CUGAACCAGCCAAGUAGCGUGAAGGAUGACUGCCCUAUGGGUUGUAAACUUCUUUUAUACGGGAAUAAAGUGAUCCACGUGUGGAUUUUUGUAUGUACCGUAUGAAUAAGGAUCGGCUAACUCCGUGCCAGCAGCCGCGGUAAUACGGAGGAUCCGAGCGUUAUCCGGAUUUAUUGGGUUUAAAGGGAGCGUAGGCGGACUAUUAAGUCAGUUGUGAAAGUUUGCGG